AUUGAACGCUGGCGGAAUGCUUUACACAUGCAAGUCGAACGGUAGAGGGGCAACCCUUGAGAGUGGCGAACGGGUGAGUAAUGUAUCGGAACAUGCCCAGUCGUGGGGGAUAACGUAGCGAAAGUUACGCUAAUACCGCAUACGAUCUAUGGAUGAAAGCGGGGGAUCGCAAGACCUCGCGCGAGUGGAGUGGCCGAUAUCAGAUUAGGUAGUUGGUGGGGUAAAGGCCUACCAAGCCGACGAUCUGUAGCUGGUCUGAGAGGACGACCCGCCACACUGGGACUGAAGCACGGGCCAGACUCCUACGGGAGGCAGCAGUGGGGAAUUUUGGACAAUGGGCGAAAGCCUGAUCCAGCCAUUCCGCGGGCAGGAAGAAGGCCUUCGGGUUGUAAACUGCUUUUGUACGGAACGAAACGCGCUGUGCUAAUACCACGGCGUAAUGACGGUACCGUAAGAAUAAGCACCGGCUAACUACGUGCCAGCCGCCGCCGUAACAC
rnacentral:rRNA from 1 species